ACUUCCUGUUCAGAAUAGGUGGAAAACCAUUGAAACUUUCUUAAACAAUUUCUCCUGCUUUCUUUCUAAGUGGCUCUCUGUGAUACGACACCAUCACAUCCACUGGAUGUUUCCUACUCCCAAAAUUACUCUUUGGUGUUCAUGUCAAUAUUCUGUAAGCUGCAUAACCUCCCAUGUUGCUGUCUUAAUUUAUCCUUCAGCCUCUAGCUGUCUUUUAUUUCCCUGCACCAUUUUUAUGUAUUAUGGCUCUUUCUCAAACCUGUCUGAUUGAAAUUCUGCUCUAUGUUUCGUAGAGCUUUUUGCACCAACCAUUAACUUUCCUGACUUUUCUUCAGAGUUCACCCCUCUCUCUGCCAUUGGCUAUCUGAAGUUUUUAUCUAUUGUUUUCUCUAGAUUAUUUAAUCAUUUAUGCAAUUUUAUUUCACCACUUUUUACCUGAGGCAAAGUCUAAACCUGACUCACUUACCAACGGCUCCCAGCUGAUUCUGAUGAGAGCUUUCCCAAAGGAUAUUGAAAGCUCUGUAUAAAAGAAGCUCUCACUCCCUAGCCUCUGCUGGUGUUUGGAGAGUAAUGAGUGCUCAGGAAAAGGGCUUCAAGCUGUGUAAAUUAGGGCUUCAUGUUGUUUGAGACCCUUUGGGAGUCUUUAUUUUGUUUACAACGUGUCAGUAGAACAAAAUGUGUGAAGGCCUAAUCUUGAAUGCUUACAAAGGAAGAGACAGCCUUCUCCUGCACUUUCCUUCCAAUGGAGUGGCUAACUCUUCAAAUACUGCAGCACUUAAUCUGCUGGCUGAUUCCAACCGAAUGAGGGGAGUGUGUUUCAGAAACAGCUUGGAGUAAAUUUGGCAAAAAUCUCCACCUGUCAGGAGGAAGAUUUGUUUGCUUCUAGGUGUGCUGAGGCUCCAGAAGCAGAUCUCAUGCAGUUUAUGUGCUACAGGCAAGGCCUCAUGUUUGCCAAAGACUGAUUCUGGAGUUACUGCAGCCAGUUUUGAGAUCGAUGUGAUGCUCUGGUCUGUCCAGAAAAGCACUGAAGAGAGCGUUACUGAAAAGGAAAACACAUGGGUGUUGUAGAUAGCGGUAUCACUGCAUGCCUGAGGAAAUAACAGCUAACGCCUACUGCACUGUCCUGCAGAGCUCUCUGCGAGAUUACGAGCAACAACAGUUUCCAGGGAUAUCUUCAGGAGCUUCAGAUAUGUAGAUGGAACAGACUGUGAAAGCUAAAUUCUCAUGUGUGGAGGGAUGGAGCAGCUCCUUGCGAUGGAAAUGGCCUUGUUAGUCUAAAGACUUGCAGCUAAUAACUACGGAUGCUUCUUCUGGGAGAAUGUAUGUUAAUGUUAAUCUUCUCUGCAAGUGGGUGAGCAGCAUGGCAGCAGCUUCCUGGCUGCCUUUGGCACCUCUCAGCGCCUGCUUUGGGUGACUGACCGAUUUAGAAACAUGGGGAUGAGAAAGUCUGAGGAUCUUCAUCACUGACAACAACAACAACAACAAAAAAGCUACUCUGCUUUAUUUUUGCACUGCUGUCUUUUGAGGCACAGGGGUAUCACAGGGCAGGGUAAAUAUCAUAGAGACAAUAUGAAGCUCAUGUUGGAUUGGGUUUUCUUUUCCAAAGCCUAAUAUACAUGGAACUCCAUCCCUCAAAAAAUUCAACUUUCAACUUUGGUCAGAAAGUACAGAUGGGUCACCAAGGAAAACAUCCACGUAGGAAAAGUACCUGACUGACAGCUGAGAGAGCAGAAACCGCCGUCAGAGUCGAGUGACAAGUUUCCUAACUGCUGAUGACUGCUGGUGUUAGCUGACCUAAGGCAGCAUGCCAUCCGACAGGGGAAUGUGUUAACACUGCUACUCGAUCCACUGUUAACAGUCGAAAUUUCACAUGAAUGGGAAGACUAUUUUUUUUUUCUCAACUACAACGCUUGGGUUCAUCAAUUCUCAGGAUUUUAUGCCAAAACAAAACAAGUGGCGACCAUAUUUAGGUUGCUCUCGAUUCGUAUUCCUCCUACUUAAUAGGAGAGGAAAAAGCUGUUGAUGCAAGUAGCACAGACGGGCUCCUUGUUAUGAAAGCUAGUCCUUCAUCAUAUGACUUGGGAACCAAAUGUGCUUUUACACACUGCUACAGCCAAAACAUAUUGCAAACUUGAAGAACAAAUGUAUUUUUGACUCACUUGGCAACACGUGUCAUGUUUUUUUCCUUCUAAAUAGCAGAAUGUCAGUACACUGGGGAGAAAGGAUUAGUUUUUUAGUAAUUAUCAAAUGUAAAUGAUUCAAUAGGCAGAAAAUACUUUGAAAUCACAAGUUCUAUGUGCAUGAUUACUGUUGUAAUUGCUGAUGGACUCAAUUCUCCUUUCUUCUUCUUUCAGAUUCUGAAAACAGGAAUCAUUUCUGAGAACAAGGUCAAAUUAGUUAGCAGCACGACUGAGGUGCUGAUAGCAUAUUUUGCACGUUUUUGCCUGGAAAGUAAGUGUCUAAUUCUGGUGGAAGGCAAUUGUGUGCCUGAGGUACAGCAGUCACACAUGAGGAGAUCUGAUGGUCCAGUUAAACGAGCACCCUGAGGCUGGCAGUGCUCAUGUUUUUGUGCUUUAUGUAUAUAUAUACAUAAAACAAUGUAGCUAUGAAGCCACAGAGAGCACCUUUGGCAUUCCUUAUGUAUCUGCCAAGUUCAGUUUCAGAAAACUGGACUAGAAUUUCAAUGGUUUUUUUUCUUCUCCAAGUCCAAACAACAACAUCCAUACGCUUCACAUUUAAUAAACACUUAAUAAACAUUUAAUAAACGACAGCUGCCAUUUGAACCAACUGCUACCACAUUUGAGUAAAAAAGAAUUACCCAGAAGAGACAGAAAAUAAGUAAAUUUAGAUUUUUCAGUUUCAAGGCACAUCUAGAAUAUUUAAAAAGUAUUUUUACUUAUCCUUACAUGUACACAUUCUUCAUUACCACUUCUAGGACAGGAACCCAGUUAAUUAGAGUUUAUGAUACAAGUAUUCAUUUCAAAGUUUGGCUUCACCUGCUGUUUAUUUUUGUUUUCACCAGCAAAACAGGAAAUGUGACAGACUGUGCACACAAAUUUGACAGAAGUCAACUUUUAUUUGUAUCUCGAGCCAGAAAUUCACAUAUAAAUUCUUUGCGAAGGGUAGAUAGGAGGAAACAGAAAGUGAUUUUAAUGCUUCUACAAAAGAUGUCAAGAAAUAAAACCAAAUAAAAAUAAAAA